GCAGACACACUCCAGCCAAUCAGCAGCAGACCCUCCCUCCCAGAUCCUCCCACCUCCUGGACAGCUCACUAAGAAUGCAGCUUCACAAUGAAUGUAAAAUGGAUGCUGUCCAGGAGGUGGGAGGGUCUGGGAGGGAGGGUCUGCUGCUGAUUGGCUGGAAUGUGUCUG